AAGCGACGCUCUGUCUAGGCCUUUCUGCUGUUUGCCGACGGCGCCAUUUUGUUUGUGAGGCGCUUGAUGGUAGUUGGCGCGGUCUUGUCCAUCCGUUGCCAUCCAGCCGUAGCCUUGCCGUCUAUUUCUAAGGAGUGACCGCAGGGGCCUCGCCCCACUAUGAGAGCUAAGUGGCGAAAGAAGCGAAUGCGCAGGCUGAAGCGCAAAAGGAGAAAGAUGAGGCAGAGGUCCAAGUAGACAUCAUUCACAGUGCUACUGAAGCUGCAAAACAGCAUGGAAAGGUGGAGCCUUGGGAAGCCGACUUGCAGAUAAUGCUUUCUCUUUGCUGCUGCUAGAAGACUCUGACCUAUCUUCAGGAGAUUCCAUUUUCAAGCCUGGGAGCAGUGAUCCUUUGAAGAUGGCAUCCCUGAGCUUUACUAUUCUGGACUGAUCUUGUCCUUGGUGGCUUGAUGUAGCAACUGUAUCAAAUAAAAACCCCUUCUGGGGGGAAUUCUACAUGUU